rnacentral:rRNA from 1 species
UACGGGGGGAGCAAGCGUUGUUCGGAUUUACUGGGCGUAAAGGGCGCGUAGGCGGCCACGACAAGUCACUUGUGAAAUCUCCGGGCUUAACCCGGAACGGUCAAGUGAUACUGUCGGGCUAGAGUGCAGAAGGGGCAACUGGAAUUCUCGGUGUAGCGGUGAAAUGCGUAGAUAUCGAGAGGAACACCUGCGGCGAAGGCGGGUUGCUGGGCUGAUACUGACGCUGAGGCGCGAAAGCCAGGGGAGCGAACGGG